rnacentral:lncRNA from 1 species
CAGCAUAUGGAGGUUCCCAGGCUAGGGGUGGAAUCAGAGCUAUAGCUGCCGGCCACAGCCACAGCCACAGCACAGGAUCCAAGCCGCAUCUGUGACCUACACCACAGCUCACAGCAAUGCCAGAUCGUCAAUCCACUGAGCAAGGCCAGGGAUUGAAUCCGCAACUUCAUGGUUCCUAGUUGGAUUUGUUUCCACUGCACCAUGAUGGGAACUCCAACAUUGGUAGGCUAUAUGGUAAGUAAAAUGUCUAACACUGUAACAAAUUGUCAAACUUUUCCAAAGUGGUUGUCCUACCAGCAAUGUAUGACUUCCCACUGUUCCACAUCCUCCCUGGAACUUGCCAUAGUCUGUCUUUAAUUUUAGUUAUCCCAAUGAGAAUGUAGUGGUAUCCCACUGCGGUGUUUUUUCUGUUUUGUUUUGGUCAUGCCUGCAGCAUCUGGAAGUUCCUAGGCCAGGGAAUGAACCUGCUCCACAGCAGUAACCAGAGCCACAGCAGUGACAAUGAAGGAUCUUUAAGCUGCUAGGCCACCGGGGAACUCCCCCAUUUUGUCUUUUAAUUUGUGUGACUUCACUGACAACCAUCAAUGUUAAGUACACUUUCACAUGCUUAUUUGGCUGUUCACUUAUCUUUUAUCUUUUCUUGUAAAGUAUCUUUUCAAAUACCUUACUCAUAUCUUAGAUUAUUUAUUAAAAAACAUAUUCUGGAUAUAGCCCUUCAUCAGGUAGAGUUCUUUGAGGUAGUUACGUUCUAUACCGUGAAUUAGUGAAUACUGAACCAUUACUCCUAGGGCAAAUACCUUAGGGUUAGUCUCCUAAGAGACUCUGGUCACAACACGUUAGCCAAUCAAUCAAUGCAUAAUCUUAUUUUACGUGUAUUUAUGUUUAAAGAUACCUUAUUUAAUAUAUUUAAUAUAUAUCAUUGAUUCACUAACAUUAAACUCGCAGCCAUUGUCACUCUAACUAAUGCCUGGAUGAGGCUUAUCUAAGACGUGAAUUUUCUCCAUAAGGUACAUCAUAGCUUUCUUGAACUUAAGAACACUAGACAGUACUUCUACAUUAUGCUUGGGAGCCAUUUUAAGUUGCAAGAUCAACAACAAAAAUAAUAAAAAAUGCAAAAUAUUGGCACUAAAUAGGCUAUGAAAAGGACAUUUAUUUAUUUUUAAAAUAAAGUGUAGUUGACUUACAAUGUUGUGCCAAUUUCUGCCAUAGGGGCACUUGUUUAUACCCUGAAAACUAAAACAAGGCAGAGCACCAUUUUGUUUGAUACUGGCUGGAACAUAUACGUUGGGCAACUUAAAUUUUUGCUACUCUGUGCAUAUCCAUGAAUGACCACAAAAGCACUGCAAAUAGUGGUUUGCAGGUUAUAAAUUUUAAUAACAAAAGUUUUCUAUUUUGAUACAGUACUAUUUAUCAGGUUUUUUGUUUUAUGGCUUAUGCCACUUGUGUUAUUUAAGAAACCUUUGAUUAUCCUAAGGAUGAAAACAUUUUCUCUUAUGUUUUCUACUAAGUUUUACAGUUUUAGCUUUUACAUUUAUACCCAUGAUUUGUUUUGAGUCCAUUUUUUUUAUGAUGUGAGGUAAGGUCAAGGUCUAUUUCUUCCCACAGAGAUAUACAGUUGUUCCAACACUAUUUGUUGAGAAGACUAUCCCUGAAUAGUUUGGGCACUUUCACAAAAAACAAUUGACUACAUACACAUGAGUGUAUUUCUUGAUUCUUUAUUCUGUUUUGUUCAUCUCACGCUUGUCAUUAUGUCAAAACUACACUGUCUUGAUAACUGUAGCUUUAUAGUUAAGACCUGAAAUCAGGUUGUGUAAAUCCUCCAACAGUGUGCUUUUUUUGUUUUCAAAACUGUUCAGGUUAUUAGGUCCUUUGCAUUUCCAUAUAAACUUUGGAAUCAUUCAGCUUUUGAUUUCUCAAAAAGGUCUGGUAAGAUUUUGAUUGGAAUGGUACUGAAUAUACACUGAUCAAUCUAAAGAGAACUAACAUAACAAUACUCAGGCUCUGAUCCAUAAACAUGGUAUAUACAUACCUCCAUUUACUUAGAUUCUUCAUUUGUCUUAGCAAUGCUUUAUAGGUUUUAGUGUAUGUAUCUUAUACACACUUGGAUAAAUUUAUUCCUAAGAAUUUCAUGUUGCAUUCAUUUUUAAAAACUCAUUUACCAACUGUUCAUUGCUGGUAUACAGAAAUAAAAUUUGAUAUUUGUAUGUUGACUUUGUGUCCUAAAAUCUUGCUUUAUUUCACCUAU